GUUAGGGGGAAGAGGAGCUGAUGGACGGAGGCCAAAACGUUUGUUUGUCAGUUUAGGAGAACACACAUUGGAAUAUUAUACAUGCUGGAACCGAAAUCUUGUCUGCCAGGUCAAUUGAAGAGACAUGUCUCACAGUCACCUCAGGAUUCCAGGAGAUUAAUCCCGGCAAGAGGAUAAAGACUUAUUUGGGUACACUUUCCUGCUGGUCGUGGAUUUACGUUAUCGUUAUUUUUUUCUUCAAAAUCAAAGUGAGUUUUCAUGGGCACCAACGCUUCAGCCAGAGGACACAAAGAGAUUUGUCCUGACAUGGCUGGGGAAUUAAUUAUCAAAAAGGGUUGUGCCAUAGGAUGUUAAUAUGGAAAUUCUGGGAAGACAGAUGGAAAAGACCUUCAAGAGUCACUUGAUGUUAUGACUGGGUAAAGUAUGGACGGAGAAUCCCAUUGGAAGCCAGGAGUAACUUUGAACUGCUUUUUUUCAUAAAGAAGUCAAUUCUGUAGAAAAUAAUUUAAAACUGUGAUGUGGGUAUUUUGAGUACAAUAAAUUACUAAUAAGAAAUUUAUUUUUUGUGAUUUUGAGCAGUGGUUGCCUACAGAAUAAUGCUUAGUUAAUGUUGAUUUCAUUUCAUUUGGUGUAGUAGAAGUCUUAAAAUGUAAAAUCUUAUUAUGGAAUUUCUUUAAGUUGGUCAUUGAGAAUUCAAAUAUCCUUUAAACAUUGUCAGCCUCUACAGGGAUCCUAACACCUGAAUCUAGAUAUGUUUGGCCUAAUUUCAAAGUUUGUACAUUACCUGAAAUUUUGAAGUACAGUAAUCAUUGAGAAAAACAGGAACAGACUUCAGGUGAACAUAGACUCAUGAAAUAGAUAAACAAAUUGCAGAUUAAAUUCAAUGUAAAUGUGUGUAAUAUUAUAUAUUUUUGUAGAGGAAAAUAUGUAGGAGUGACAAUAUGAACUGAACUGUGUAAUUUUGAAAGGAGCAUGAAAAAGUGAGAGGAUAGUCGUUGUAAUUUGCAAAAAUCCUAGAAGGAAUCCGGAAAAUAUUGAGAAGCCUGUUAAAAGAGCAGAAAGCUUUAUUAAGAAAGGAAUAGAAUAACAGGGCCGUUGUAUUAGUCUUUUAUAAAACCCUGGUUAGGCGGAAUAGUUUUAGAGUGCUGUUAAAGAAGGUGCAGAAGAGAUUUACUGGAAGAGUGCCAGAUAGGAAGGGUUUCAGAAUAGCUCAGGGCAGGGAGGAUAAAGAGAAGACUAGAUGGGGUGUUCAAAAUCAAACAUAAUUUUGAAAGAAUAGACAGUGAGAAAACAGAAAUGACGUGAGGAACAGGUGUUUUACAAAGUGAGUUGUUAUGAUCUGGAAUAUACUGCCUGAAAAAUAUGGUAGAGGCAAACUCAAUAGUAACUUUCAAAAGGAAUUGAAUAAACACUUGACAGAAAAACAAAUCAUAUCUAUUUGGAUUAAGCAAGGAAAAAUGAUUAAUUGGAUAAUUCUACCAAAGAAGUGUCAUUGGUGUGAUGGACUGAGUGAUUUCCUGCUGUGCUGGAUCUAUGCACCAACAUACUGUACUGACCUUGAAAGCAAUUGCUUCAUGAGGAAAUUCCUACCCUUUUGAGGUUAAAUAUCCCAGUUAUAUUUAGAAACAAGCAUUACAUAAAUUUCUAUUCAGCCUGUCAUUGUUCUAAAAUAAAACUGGCAAUUAAAAUACUAAAUAAUGCACAAUGUCAUGUGAAUUUUCCCUUUUAAUCUUUACAGAGAUGUCUGUCAAAAAGAAAGUUGUGAGAAAUAUGCCAAUAUAGAUUUGCGAGACAUUAUCAGCAUAAUUUCCAAUGUCCAAAUUUUAUUAAUUCAAAAUUAAAGCAAGUAUUUUCAAUAUGAUGUAAUAGCUGAAAUCCUGACCUUGGCAAUUCUCAAAGAGUUUUCAAGUCCCUCUUUACCUCUCUAGCUUGAUAUUGCUAAGUUAUUGAAAAAAAAAAGCUUUACAAGGUCAAAUUGAAGAUAUGGAAAAAAUAAGCUGCCAAAUUGAGAUCAAUAUCAUCUUUAGGAAAACUGCUUUAGUCGCCAAGUUGCACUUAAUGACCCAAAUUAAAUCCUUUGGACCUUCUGUGUCCUCUCUACCUUUAAUAUAAGUGGCAGGAAAGAGUUAGGCAGUGAGUCAAUAACAGUAAAAAGUCCUGUAUCUGCACUUAUAAUUGAUGUGUCAGAUGAUAAUAGUUAAAAAUCCUCCUUUCCAGAAACAGCACCAAAUUAUGUAAUAAGAAAAAUAAUUGUUGAGAAAACAAUAUUUCAAGAUGGGUCAAAAUCCGAAUUUCACUUUUAAAUUACACAAAAGGUCCAAAUCAAUUUUUACACAUUCAUUUUUGCACUAAUUAAUGUGAAGGUUGUUCAUCUUUUAGCACGUGGUUUGAUGCCACACUGAGUUUUUCAUGGAUAUUCAAGCUCUGACCUAUUGUUACAUCACGUAUGUUCAUGCCCAUGUGCUCUCGAUGUUUCUUCCAGAGUGUGGAUAGUAUAAUUGUAGUCUGGUCUACUGUUCAUUCUAACUCCAUCUGCAUUGCUAUUUAUGCUGAGCUAUGUGCAGCUAUUUAAAAACAUUGCAACAUUGCACCAGGGUCCCAACACAACACACUACCCCAAGCAUUUCUUCCCCCAUGAUAAACAUUGAUUACAAGUUACAUUCAUUCGAAAAUGAUUUACUUAGGUUAUUACCUUUUACAAUAUUUCCUGUCAAUGUUGUUUUUAUCUCUCUCAUCCCUCCCCAAGUUUUUGACUUGAUUCAUUUGUGCCAAUGGUUGGGUAAGGAAAUUCCAUGACCUAGAAAGAAACAUUUGAGAAUUAAAAAAUAACUUGGUUCUUUAUAUCAGAAAUUCAGUCGAUCUGGUGAAGGAAGUUGUGGCGAUGUAACUUUGCUCCCAUGCUGUUAUGAUGUCAAACUUAAUUUGUUUUGUAUUGAUCAAUUGUCCACGUAACACAUGAUCUGAUGUUGAUCCUAUAUAAUAGGGAAGUUUGUUAAUGCGUGCUAUAUUUGAUUUUAGAUCCAAUGCUAACACCAUUUGAUAUCUUAGGAAUUAUGUUUUCUGUGUUUGCCAAUUUACUAAUUUAUCAAAUGAAUCUGAGACCUUAAAUUUUCCUGAUGGAAAGAUUGGUUCAAGCAAAUUUUGUUACAUCACUUAAUUAUUGAUAGACACUUCAAUUUGUUGAUUACCUUGGUUUGCAUAAUAUUAUUAGGAUUUUGACUUCCUUGUGCUACACUUAUUUUGUUGUCUUCUGUUACUCUAACUAGAUUAAAGUUGUUGUUGAAUCUUUGUUGUUAUGAAGAUUGUUGUCACAGUAAAACUGACAAUUUUUAAAUUUUCUGUUCCCUUUAAACUUGUUGCUUUACCAGUACGGCUUAUGUAUGAAGCUAUUCCUUUUCCAUAAUAGCUGGAGAAUUUCUAAAAAUCUAUUGGUAGAAUUUUUUGAAAUGGCUUCCCUCAACAAGAUUCAAUAAAUCUCUGAUUCUGCCAAUGAUAUCUGCCUGAUGUCAUUGGUGCCAAUUUUUUUCUUCCUCCAAGAACUCAAAACCACUUGGUCAGAUUUAUGCCUGUUUUCUUCAUCCAAUGUUUCAUAUUUUUGAAUGAAUGAAAUAGAUUAAAGCUUCUUAA